ACAUAACUGAUGCCUCCGCGUAUCGACUUUGUGCGCAUUUUAGCUAUUAUGUGUUCUUUUAAUUAAAAUGAUUCUUUUUAAGAUUCAUCUAUUAAAAAUUUGCUUCGGCAUAAUUUUUUUGAUGAUCUUGUUACUUUGAGUAAAUUAGAGUGUUCAAAGCAAACAGAUAUAGCAUUUGUGCGUUUGAAUACUACAGCAUGGAAUAACAAAAUUGAACAAGUCAGAAUUUUUUUGUUCUUUUUUCUUAUUUUGGCUUAGUUACGAUUAAUAGGAGUAGCUUGGGGGCAUUUGUAUUCAGAUGUCAGAGGUGAAAUUCUUAGAUUUUCUGGAGACAAACAACUGCGAAAGCAUUUGCCUAAAAUACUUCCAUUAAUCAAGAACGAAAGUUAAGGGAGUGAAGACGAUCAGAUACCGUCGUAAUCUUAACCAUAAACUAUGCCGACUAGGCUUUGGAUGAAAGGUUUUAAAAUAAGAGUUUUUCUUUUCUCUCCGGAGAUUAGAACUCUUAGAUUGCUUCCUUCAGUGCCUUAUGAGAAAUCAAAGUCUUUGGGUUCUGGGGCGAGUAUUCGCGCAAGCGAGAAAGUUAAAAGAAUUGACGGAAGGGCACCACCAGGCGUGGAGCUUGCGGCUUAAUUUGACUCAACACGGGAAAACUCACUAGUUUAAGACAAGAGUAGGAUUGACAGAUUAAUAGCUCUUUCUUGAUUUCUUGGAUGGUGAUGCAUGGCCGUUUUUAGUUCGUGAAUAUGAUUUGUCUGGUUAAUUCCGAUAACGAACGAGAUCUUAACCUGCUAAUUAGCGGCAAAUACGAUAUAUUCUUAUGUAGAAUUGAAUAUAGUGGAUUUGUUGGAUUUUGAAGAAAAUAUUGGAAUUACGUUAAAUGUGAUUCCUUUCCCUUUUCUACUUAAUUUACAUUUCCAUCUAUUUCUUUUUUGCGUAUGAAUGUAUUUGCUUGAUUGUAAAGCUUCUUAGAGGAACGAUGUGUG
rnacentral:rRNA from 1 species